ACACGAUCAACUCUAGUUAGAGUUGGCAUUGACCUCAUGUGCUGUCAAGGUGCAUUUGGUUUGAAUGGAUCAAGUUGAUGGGCUUCCCAGCGAUGCUCGAUGUGUGCUAGCGAGACAGUCGUCCCGAUCUCACAUUAUUGUUUCGUUGCAGAGCUCUAAUCACAGCUUGUUAACUAUCAUAUCUA
rnacentral:misc_RNA from 1 species